CACGCCGUAAACGAUGAGUGCUAGGUGUCGGAGGGUAACCUUCGGUGCCGAAGUUAACACAUUAAGCACUCCGCCUGGGGAGUACGUUCGCAAGAAUGAAACUCAAAGGAAUUGACGGGGACCCGCACAAGCAGCGGAGCAUGUGGUUUAAUUCGAUGCAACGCGAAGAACCUUACCAGGGCUUGACAUCCCUCGGGCCGUCUUAGAGAUAAGACCUUCUCUUCGGAGACUGAGGGACAGGUGG
rnacentral:rRNA from 1 species